AUAUGCCUAGGUGGGAUUAGCUAGUUGGUGAGGUAAUGGCUCACCAAGGCGACGAUCCCUAGCUGGUCUGAGAGGAUGAUCAGCCACACUGGAACUGAGACACGGUCCAGACUCCUACGGGAGGCAGCAGUGGGGAAUAUUGCACAAUGGGCGCAAGCCUGAUGCAGCCAUGCCGCGUGUGUGAAGAAGGCCUUCGGGUUGUAAAGCACUUUCAGUCGUGAGGAAGGUAGUGUAGUUAAUAGCUGCAUUAUUUGACGUUAGCGACAGAAGAAGCACCGGCUAACUCCGUGCCAGCAGCCGCGGUAAUACGGAGGGUGCGAGCGUUAAUCGGAAUUACUGGGCGUAAAGCGCAUGCAGGUGGUUUGUUAAGUCAGAUGUGAAAGCCCGGGGCUCAACCUCGGAAUAGCAUUUGAAACUGGCAGACUAGAGUACUGUAGAGGGGGGUAGAAUUUCAGGUGUAGCGGUGAAAUGCGUAGAGAUCUGAAGGAAUACCGGUGGCGAAGGCGGCCCCCUGGACAGAUACUGACACUCAGAUGCGAAAGCGUGGGGAGCAAACAGGAUUAGAUACCCUGGUAGUCCACGCCGUAAACGAUGUCUACUUGGAGGUUGUGGCCUUGAGCCGUGGCUUUCGGAGCUAACGCGUUAAGUAGACCGCCUGGGGAGUACGGUCGCAAGAUUAAAACUCAAAUGAAUUGACGGGGGCCCGCACAAGCGGUGGAGCAUGUGGUUUAAUUCGAUGCAACGCGAAGAACCUUACCUACUCUUGACAUCCAGAGAACUUUCCAGAGAUGGAUUGGUGCCUUCGGGAACUCUGAGACAGGU
rnacentral:rRNA from 1 species